rnacentral:rRNA from 1 species
AUUGAACGCUGGCGGCAUGCCUUACACAUGCAAGUCGAACGGUAACAGGUUAAGCUGACGAGUGGCGAACGGGUGAGUAAUACAUCGGAACGUGCCCAGACGUGGGGGAUAGCUCGGCGAAAGCCGGAUUAAUACCGCAUAAGCUCUGAGGAGGAAAACGGGGGACCGUAAGGCCUCGCGCGUUUGGAUCGGCCGAUGGCAGAUUAGGUAGUUGGUGGGGUAAAGGCUUACCAAGCCUACGAUCUGUAGCUGGUCUGAGAGGACGACCAGCCACACUGGGACUGAGACACGGCCCAGACUCCUACGGGAGGCAGCAGUGGGGAAUUUUGGACAAUGGGCGCAAGCCUGAUCCAGCAAUGCCGCGUGCAGGAUGAAGGCCUUCGGGUUGUAAACUGCUUUUGUACGGAACGAAAAGGCGCCUACUAAUACUGGGUGUUGAUGACGGUACCGUAAGAAUAAGCACCGGCUAACUACGUGCCAGCCGCCGCGGUAAAAC